rnacentral:misc_RNA from 1 species
GAUGAAGAACGUAGCGAAAUGCGAUAAGUAAUGUGAAUUGCAGAAUUCAGUGAAUCAUCGAAUCUUUGAACGCACAUUGCGCCCGCUAGUAUUCUGGCGGGCAUGCCUGUCCGAGCGUCAUUUCAACCCUCAAGCCCCCGGGCUUGGUGUUGGGGAUCGGCGAGCCUCCGCGCCCGCCGUCCCCUAAAUCUAGUGGCGGUCUCGCUGUAGCUUCCUCUGCGUAGUAGCACACCUCGCACUGGGAAACAGCGCGGCCACGCCGUUAAACCCCCAACUUCUGGACGUUUGACCUCGGAUCAGGUAGGAAUACCCGCUGAACUUAAGCAUAUCAAUAAGCGGAGGA